rnacentral:rRNA from 1 species
UACAGAGGGUGCAAGCGUUAAUCGGAGUUACUGGGCGUAAAGGGCGCGUAGGCGGUGAUACAAGUGAGGUGUGAAAGCCCUGGGCUUAACCUAGGAAUUGCACUUCAAACUGUGUUGCUAGAGUGCAGUAGAGGGUGGUGGAAUUUCCGGUGUAGCGGUGAAAUGCGUAGAGAUCGGAAGGAACAUCAGUGGCGAAGGCGGCCACCUGGACUGUAACUGACGCUGAGGCGCGAGAGCGUGGGGAGCAAACAGGAUUAGAUACCCUGGUAGUCCACGCUGUAAACGAUGAGAACUAGAUGUUGGUCUGCGCGAGCGGAUGAGUAUCGAAGCUAACGCGAUAAGUUCUCCGCCUGGGGAGUACGGCCGCAAGGUUAAA